CACCAUUUGUGAUUUUUGUAUAUAUAUAUAUUGCAUUUUUUAAAAGCUGUUCACGUUAUUUCAAAAUCGCAUCGUUUUCAACAAGGCCUUUAUGGUUUCAAUAUCAUUCAAUACAUGUUGUUUAUAUUCGGUUUAUAAAAUAAGCCUUUGAACGCAGAAAAACGGUUUCUUGUUUUAAAUUUUAAAAUUUCCCUCUGCGGCGAAUCGAUUAUAUUCCGCGAAGGUCUUUUGCUUGCCCAAAAGAUUCUAAAUUUAAACAAUUCUCGCACAUAUAGUUGUGAUAGCAGAUCUGUCACAAGACAUGCUGUUUGUAGCCAGUUUAAUAGGCCUUUGAGUAUAGUUCACUUAGUAAAUUACAAAUUAAAGCUUUCCAAAAACGAAGCCAGUGUAACAAGAUAUUUUACAAGGAGCAAAAGGAUUCGAUCAUGUCGACACCGAAUUUUCUAUUGAGCAAUGGUAAAAAUAUGCCCAUGUUGGGUCUCGGAACUUGGCGGAGCCCGCCGGAAGUGGUGACCCAAGCAGUAAAGGAUGCCAUUGACAUAGGCUAUCGCCAUUUUGACUGCGCCCAUAUCUAUGGCAAUGAGGCGCAAGUGGGAGCUGCCCUCCGGGAGAAAAUGGACGAGGGAGUAGUCACACGAGAUGAACUCUUCAUCACGAGCAAAUUGUGGAACACACACCACAAGCCGGAUUUGGUGCGCCCCGCAUGUGAGACGAGCAUAAGGAACUUGGGAGUCAACUACCUAAACCUCUACCUGAUGCACUGGCCCAUGGCCUACAAGUCGGGCAAUGACAACCUGUAUCCCACGUGUCCGGAUACCAAUAAAGCCGCAUUCGAGGACAUCGACUAUGUGGACACGUGGCGUGCAAUGGAGAAUCUGGUGGACGAGGGGCUGGUCCAGGCCAUCGGUGUGUCUAACUUCAAUGAGCAGCAGAUGAAUAGGCUUCUGAGUGUGGCCAAGCUAAAGCCGGUCGUUCUACAAAUCGAGUGCCACCCGUACCUUAGUCAGAAGCCAUUGAUUACGCUGUGCUAUGACAAUGCCAUUGCGGUGACCGCCUACAGCUGCCUGGGAUCGGGACAUACGCCCUACGAGAAGCCCGGCGCUUAUCCACUGCUCCAGCACCCGACCAUCUUGGCUAUAGCUGAGAAAUACGAAAGGACAGCGGCGCAGGUGCUCCUACGCUACCAGACACAAUCGGGUAUAAUCGUCAUCCCAAGAUCUGUAUGCAAACAGCACAUGUUGGACAACUUUAAGCGAAUCUGGGACUUUGAGUUGGCCAUCGAUGACAUACAGGCCAUUAACGAUUUGGACUGCAAUGGGCGUUUUAUGACCAUGAAGGCGGCCUAUGGACAUCCUCAUCAUCCAUUUGAACCCGUACAGGCAAAGUAGAUAAUUAAUAUUGAUUGCCUUCAAUGUGAUAAGUACGAUUAUAUGCGGUAAUCUCCAGAGUUACUCUGAUGAUAUACAGGCUUUAAUACUAAAACCAAGUAGUCGUUGCAUUCCAUCAGUCAAGAAGUCUAUACAAAUAAAUAAAAUUUACUGGCGUACAAGAUGAACACUCUAAUGAAAAUUCAAUUGUUUAGGCCUGUUUUUCACAUUACGUUAAGGAAUUAUGGGAAAGCAGAGCGAUUUAUGUGGUGUCAGAAGGAGUAUGCUAGAGCUCCAAAAGUGGUUUGCUUGGACGGAAAUGAGAUUCCAGUAAUUGGACUCGGAACUUUCAAUGUAAAUAUUAAAACAAUGUCUGUUUUUCAUAUUAAUGCUAUAGUUUUGAUAAAUAAUCGCCUUUUUACAUAGCGAUCAUAAAGAGCCUAUAUGUCAAUGGUUGUAGAGCUUUUGCAAUUUCACAGUGAUCAUAACAUAUGUAAAGUAUUAUUACAUUUAAGGUUACAUUUGAAUCUCUUAACAAAUGAAGAUUAGCAAGAAACAUCUUAGUAUCAUUUAUUAAAAAUUAUUAAUUAUUUUAAUUGAUUCAAGCUUAAUACCAAUUUUCUUUUAUGCUAAAUAGAGAGUAUAAGAGAACUUAAUAUUUAAGCGUAACUGACGAUCGCUCAGCUGUUCGGCGUGUCGACUAUGCAGCCCUGUUCUCGAAAGCUUUUUAGAAUUUCGAACAAGCUUUCGCGGUGCGUAUAUAAGCGGUUAACAGCUGAGUGGAAUCGCUCAGUUUGUUCAGUAGCGGCAAUCGUAAAGAUUUCUAAUUGUAUUAUAAAUAUUUAUAAAUAUCCUUAAACUAUAAGCGAAAA